rnacentral:rRNA from 1 species
AAUGAACGCUGGCGGCAUGCCUUACACAUGCAAGUCGAACGGCAGCAUGACCUAGCUUGCUAGGUUGAUGGCGAGUGGCGAACGGGUGAGUAAUGCAUCGGAACGUGCCUUUUAGUGGGGGAUAACGUAGCGAAAGUUACGCUAAUACCGCAUAUUCUCUGAGGAGGAAAGCAGGGGACCUUCGGGCCUUGCGCUAGAAGAGCGGCCGAUGUCGGAUUAGCUAGUUGGUGAGGUAAAGGCUCACCAAGGCAACGAUCCGUAGCGGGUCUGAGAGGAUGAUCCGCCACACUGGGACUGAGACACGGCCCAGACUCCUACGGGAGGCAGCAGUGGGGAAUUUUGGACAAUGGGCGCAAGCCUGAUCCAGCCAUGCCGCGUGAGUGAAGAAGGCCUUCGGGUUGUAAAGCUCUUUCGGCUGGGAAGAAAUCGCACCCUCUAAUACAGGGUGUGGAUGACGGUACCAGCAUAAGAAGCACCGGCUAGCUACGUG